AAUGGCAAUGACAAUGGGAAGCAAGGCUGUAAGGCGGAGCGAAUCCGGAAAGAUUGCCUCAGUUCGGAUUGUUCUCUGCAACUCGGGAACAUGAAG
rfam:Oryza sativa (indica cultivar-group) chromosome 8, whole genome shotgun sequence.